GUUCUUGCUUCGGCAGAACAUAUACUAAAAUUGGAACGAUACCGAGAAAAUUAGCAUGACCCC
rfam:Phlebotomus papatasi Contig3008.4, whole genome shotgun sequence.